rnacentral:rRNA from 1 species
GGAGGGUGCGAGCGUUAUCCGGAAUUACUGGGUUUAAAGGGUGCGUAGGCGGCUUUGUAAGUCAGGAGUGAAAGUUUGCGGCUCAACCGUAAAAUUGCUUCUGAUACUGCACAGCUAGAAUCAGGAUGAGGUCAGCGGAAUGUGGCAUGUAGCGGUGAAAUGCAUAGAUAUGCCAUAGAACACCAAUUGCGAAGGCAGCUGGCUAGACCUGUAUUGACGCUGAGGCACGAAAGCGUGGGGAGCGAACAGGAUUAGAUACCCUGGUAGUCCACGCCCUAAACGAUGCUUACUCGACGUAUGAGACUUGUUCUUGUGCGUCCAAGGGAAACCGUUAAGUAAGCCACCUGGGGAGUACGACCGCAAGGUUGAA